rnacentral:ncRNA from 2 species
UUACAGUGACCCGGCCGUGGUGUUCGGGAAGACCGGUGCAGGACCCUCCCCAAGGAGGAUCCGAUUCCGGAGCGGCCCUCGCCACUGUGAUCGGGGAGUGACCGUCCCGUUCCGCGCGGCCCACCGGGCGCGUGGAGCCACUGGCCGCAGCCGGCUGCCGGGAAGGCGGGGGCGGACGCGAACGAACCCGUCAGCCAGGAGACCGGCCACGGCAUCUCAGUGAAC